rnacentral:rRNA from 1 species
CCUACGGGACGCAGCAGUGGGGAAUAUUGCACAAUGGGCGCAAGCCUGAUGCAACCAUGCCGCGUGUAUGAAGAAGGCCUUCGGGUUGCAAAGUACUUUCAGCGGGGAGGAAGGUGUUGUGGUUAAUAACCGCAGCAAUUGACGUUACCCGCAGAAGAAGCACCGGCUAACUCCGUGCCAGCAGCCGCGGUAAUACGGAGGGUGCAAGCGUUAAUCGGAAUUACUGGGCGUAAAGCGCACGCAGGCGGUCUGCCAAGUCGGAUGUGAAAUCCCCGGGCUCAACCUGGGAACCGCAUUCGAAACUGGCAGGCUAGAGUCUUGUAGAGGGGGGUAGAAUUCCAGGUGUAGCGGUGAAAUGCGUAGAGAUCUGGAGGAAUACCGGUGGCGAAGGCGGCCCCCUGGACAAAGACUGACGCUCAGGUGCGAAAGCGUGGGGAGCAAACAGGAUUAGAUACCCCAGUAGUC